ensembl:lncRNA
GUGAAUACGCAUAUUUUGACCCUCACUCACGUAAGUCUACAGGAAUGCCAUUGUCGCUAGCUGUAAGUGGUGGAACUGCAGUUAUGUUAAAAUUCACACGUCUUAACGACAUGACUGACAGGAUCAAACGCUUGUACCGAAUGUUUAGCAUCGCACCAACCUGCACUUAUGAGCUACAACCUGUCGAGUUUCACAGUGAAAACGCUGCUGACCAAAGAGAUGCUAAUCAAACCACCGAAUACAGACAAACCGCUGCAAGUGUUCCAGCUGUAGCUUUAAAUGAACCUGUCCAAGAAUUAAAUUCCCAAACAACCACUGAGCAGACACGGAAAACUGUUACGGAGACUGUAAUCACUGAAGUGACAUCAUCCAGAGUGGAUUAUUCAGAUGAGACAGCUGCUACUGAAAACAACAAUCAUCCGUCUGAUUAUUUACAGAAAGAAACCUCUGCAUCUUCUGUGAGAGAAACUCAGGACUUGGAUGAGAAAAGGAUUUAUGCCAAUCCUGAGGUAACUGCAGCGCUCCAAACCAUGAGACAAGCCAGCGUUGAGGAAAUGAUGCCUCUUCUUCAGGUCAGAGAAACAGCCAGCAGACCUGACACUCUUACACUGAUCCAUCACAAUACAGAGGGUUUGCCAUCUCACAUCAGUGACAUCAAGAGUCAUCAUGAAAUGUGUUUAGCAGAUGUUUUGUGUCUCACAGAGUCUCACCUCCAAGGCUCCUUUGUUGCAGACAGUCUUCAUUUGGACGGCUACACCAUGUUCAAACGCAACAGACAUGUGUCCUACACAAACUUUCCUCACAUGGCC